AUUGAACGCUGGCGGCAGGCUUAACACAUGCAAGUCGAGCGGAGAGAGGUAGCUUGCUACUGAUCUUAGCGGCGGACGGGUGAGUAAUGCUUAGGAAUCUGCCUAUUAGUGGGGGACAACAUCUCGAAAGGAAUGCUAAUACCGCAUACGUCCUACGGGAGAAAGCAGGGGAUCUUCGGGCCUUGCGCUAAUAGAUGAGCCUAAGUCGGAUUAGCUAGUUGGUGGGGUAAAGGCCUACCAAGGCGACGAUCUGUAGCGGGUCUGAGAGGAUGAUCCGCCACACUGGGACUGAGACACGGCCCAGACUCCUACGGGAGGCAGCAGUGGGGAAUAUUGGACAAUGGGCGCAAGCCUGAUCCAGCCAUGCCGCGUGUGUGAAGAAGGCCUUAUGGUUGUAAAGCACUUUAAGCGAGGAGGAGGCUACUUUAGAUAAUACCUAGAGAUAGUGGACGUUACUCGCAGAAUAAGCACCGGCUAACUCUGUGCCAGCAGCCGCCGUAA
rnacentral:rRNA from 1 species